AUGGAGGACGAAAGUGUGCUGGAGCGUAUACUUAAUGGAAUCGAAGAGCCCAAUGAUCUGCCAUUAGCACUGUUACAACGCAUAACCAAUAAUUUCUCCCCAGAGAGAAAAAUUGGUCAGGGUGGAUUUGGAGCAGUUUACAAGGGUGUACUCAGAAAUGGGAUUGUUGUUGCUGUGAAGAGGAUGUAUGUGAACCAACACACACUUGAUGAUGUGUCUUUUCGCCGUGAGUUUAAUAGCUUGAGGAAGAUUAAUCAUCAAAAUGUAGUGCGGUUUCUUGGCUUCUGUUCUAAUACCUAUCAGACAUCGAUAGAAGGGGCUGGGUCAGAAGAAAUUAACUUGGCCAAUGUAAGAGAAAGAUUGCUUUGUUUCGAGUACAUCAGCAAUGGAAGUCUUGAUAAGCAUAUUACUGAUGAAUUAAGGGGACUUGAAUGGGAAACACGUUAUGAAAUAAUCAUUGGAAUUUGCAAGGGUCUGUGCUAUCUUCACGAGGAAAAAGAAAUUGUUCAUAUGGACCUUAAACCGGCGAAUAUAUUAUUAGAUGGCACGUAUAUUGUUCCUAAAAUUACAGAUUUUGGGUUGUCGAGAUCAAAUAAAAACACGCAUACUAUGGGUCUACGUUUUGGAACACGAGGAUAUCUCGCGCCGGAAUAUGAAAACGCUGGUAAAACUUCAUUCAAGUCUGACAUUUAUAGUAUGGGUGCCAUAAUCAUUGAAUUAGUAACGGGGUGUAUGGACGUUCCUGAUAAAAACAAUAUAAUCCGCUGUUAUGAUGAAGAUGACAUGCUUGGGAUUAAGCCGCUUGAACUACGUCUUCCUUCUGAGCUUAAGAAGGAGAUAUCAGGCUUAGUUGUGCUAACUAAUGGUACUCGUAAUUGUAUUGCUUUCAACAUCCAAUUGCCAAGCGGACAAUUGUACAGCGCACAACCAUACAAAGGCAUUGUGCAACCAAAAUCCAAGUAUGGUAUGAAGAUUAUAGUCAAACCAGGAGAUGUUCAUGAGCACGACCAAGCCAACAAGUUCAUCGUGCAGAGCAUGAAAGUGAGCGAGGGUCUAAGAGACGAGGAUAUCGAAGGAUGCAUGUUCGAAGAGGCCAGUAAAGUUGUUGAUAAGGUGAAUUUGAUGGUUGUAUAUGAGUCUACGAAGCCCCAAGAAAACUGCAAGAGUAGAGAAGACACCAACAUGCCAGCUGAGGAAGUCCCCGAGGCAAAAAGGAGAAAGAUUGUUGGGUCUGCUUCCGAAAAUAGCAAACUUGGUAGCAGCAAAAAUGCAGAGGCAACUUUCAUGGAUGCCAAUUCAAGCGUGCGAGGACAAUGUACGGAGCAAACAGAGCAGUUUAAUCUGCACCCACUACAGAGCUUUUCACGCCAUUAUCCUACCAACAUGAGAUACCUUGAAAAAGAAAAUGACCGAGCCGUGGAUCUCCCAACGGGGGCUUUGGGUAGCCUACUCGACAAGCUGGGCAAGCUCCUCGAGGAGGACUACAAUCUUGAGGACAGUAUCAAGACAGAUAUCAAGUCUUUUUCAGAAAAGUUGAUGAAGAUGCACCAAACCCUCCGCAACCUGGGAAAGUUUGAUGGGGUCAAGAUUUGGACUGACCAAGUCAGGAAGCUUUCAUAUCACAUAGAGGAUAUGGUUGACACAUUCCUGGUGCAUGUCGAGCCUAACUCUAAUAGGGGUGGCUUCAGGGAGCUCACACAUAAGGGGCUAAAACUUUGGGAGAAUGGCAUGACGACUCACCAUCAGAUUGGUGAUGUAAUCAGACACAUCAAGAACAAAGUUCAGGCUGUGGCCGACAUGCAAGAGAAUUAUGACUUCAAUGUCAACAAUGUUGUAGCUAAUGUAACUGCAAAACUUGACACUGACCUUCGGAUUUCAGCUAUAUACGUAAAUAAAGAACGGCUCAUUGGCAUCAAAGCGCGAAGAGAUGAGUUAAUAAGGCUAUUUGAGGAGGAUGGUGAUGCAUCAACGCUCAAGACAGUCUCUAUCGUCGGAAUGGGAGGAUUGGGGAAGACCACACUUGCCAAGGCAGUGUAUGACAAGCUUAAAAAAGAUUACCAUCACAGAGCUUUUAUUCCGGUGGGUCAGAAUCCUGAUGUGAAGAAAGUUUUGAAUAACAUUCUGUUCGAAUUUGGACAGAGUUUAGCAAACUUCGACUUGGACGUGCAUCAGCUCAUCAACGAACUCAGAAAAUUGCUCAAGAAGGAGAGAUACUUCAUAGUAAUUGAUGAUAUAUGGGAUUCCGAAGCAUGGGGUUUUAUUCAAUCUGCUUUUCCAGGAAACAAACAUGGCAGUCGAGUGAUAACAACAACAAGGAUUGAAGUUGUUGCCCGUGCGUGUUGCGAACAUGAAGGCAAAUAUGUUUAUAGGAUGAAAUCACUCAGUGAAGAACACUCAAGAAGACUAUUUUUCAGAAGAAUAUUUGGUCCUGAAAAAGAUUGUCCUGAUACACCCAGAAAAGAAGAGAUUUCAAAAUAUAUUCUAAAAAAAUGUGAUGGUAUGCCACUUGCUAUUAAUAGUAUAGCAAGCCUUCUAGCUGGCGAGCAAGAGUCAACCUGGGAGUAUAUAUGGAAAUCUUUGGGUUCUGUGACUGAAGAAGAUGAUCUUGAAAAGAUGAAUCGAAUAUUGGAUCUUAGCUACAUACAUCUUCCUGAUCAUCUCAAGACAUGUCUGCUUUAUGUUUGUAUGUAUCCAGAGGAUCGUGAGAUAGAUAAAAAUGAUUUGCUGAAGCAAUGGGUAGCCGAAGGUUUCGUGCACGUGAGUAGAAACAGUGGGCUGGAUGCACAGGAUGUUGCAGAGAAGUACUUCAAGGAGCUCAUCAGCAUGUGUAUGAUCCAACCUGGGAGGAUAGAUGACUACAACAAUGAAGUGUUGUCUUGCAGAGUACAUGAUAUAAUUCUUGAUCUUCUGAGAUCCAAGUCAAGUAAAGAGAAUUUUGUUCAUGUAAUUGAUGGUUCGAAAGAUACAUCAGGGGAGAUCCAUCGAGUCUCGGUCCAGUACAUUGAUAAAGAUGAUGCACGAAUUUUGGAAAUAAUCAACAAAGCGUCACUAUCACAUGUUCGGUCAGUCUUACUUUGCCGAGGCUCACUUGUGCCUCAUUUUAUGUACUUCAAGUAUAUCCGAGUUCUACGCCUUGAAGAUCAAGGCCUUGGUGGGGACAUAGACCUCACCGGUAUCAGUAGCUUGUUUCUCCUGAGGUAUUUAAAGUUUGCCAAUCUUGAUGGAAGUAAUUAUCAUCUGAAGCUACCUAAUCAAAUUGGGGAUUUACAGCAGUUGGAGACAAUAGAUCUAGCUGGUUUCCUGGAAAAUUUUCCAUCAGACAUUGUUAGUUUGGCCUUGUUAUCACAUCUCAGCUCGAGGAGAAAUAAGGCAGGCGGUAUAGUGUUGCCUGACGGGAUUGAGAGGUUGAAAUCACUGCACACUCUAGUAGGUGUAGUAAUAUCUAAUAAAAGCUCGGUAGAGAGUAUCAUGGGCCUCGGCAAGCUGACAAACUUGAGAAAGCUUCAUAUCUGUUUGAACGAGAAUGUUCAUACAGAUGCUUUGCACUCUUCCCUUUCCAUGCUUUCUGCCAACCUCAGGAUCCUUACUUUUGGAAAAGGAUGGCCUAUCGGACUGGAUGAUGUAUCAUGCUGGGGCAGGACACUAUUCCCUCGAGGUUGUCAUAUUCGAGAGCUCGAUCUAGGGUGCUGUGAGUUUCAGAGGUGCCCCAAGUGGAUUGGUCAACUCGAUGGCCUCACCAAGUUAAUGAUUUGGGUGAGGGAGGUGGCUGAUGGUGUCAAUAUUGUUGCAGGGCUGCCUUCACUCUCCUGCUUCUGGUUGAUUGUAAGUAUGUUUCAGGGAGAAAAGGAAGAAAGUGUAGUCAUCCCUGGGGGUGGGGCAUUCAAAGCACUCAAGCACCUGAGGUUCCACUGUAAAAAGGCGUCACUGACCUUUGAAGCGGGGGCUAUGCCCAUGCUAGAGGAGCUUUCCAUACAGCUCCGUUACCACAUGAGCGGCCAACUCCUACCAGUUGGCAUCGAGCACUUGCCUGCUGGCACCCUUAACAAAAUCUGGUUACGAGUCUACUUGGAUGACCGCUGGGAGGUGGAAGGCUCCCAGGGCUGGGACGAUGACGACUGGGAUAAUUACUUCUCUUCACAUGAAUUUAGACAAGGCAGAGAUUCUGUGAGGCAGCUGGUGAAGGUAGCAUUUGAGCGCCAUCAUCCUGACGCCGACAUCAUCCUUUCUUUGCAUAAUGAUUAUCGGAAUGAGUGA
rnacentral:rRNA from 1 species